GUCGGGGGAGCUACUUAGGAGAGUCUUGGAGCUCCCACCAAUGUGGGAUCAUUCCAUGAGACUCCAUGAGGAGCGUGGAACACUGGAGGGCAGCAAGCACGGGGUGUGUGGACACUCGAGAGUGGAGAACACGGAGCACGGACUUUUAGAGAAGACACGACACGGGAAUCACGGGGAUGUAUUAUUGUGUGUACAGUUUUCACUGUAAAUAAAGAGCACCGUUUGCAUCGCAGAGUACCGCGACUGGGUCCUCCUUUCCCCACAUCCCCACGGUCUGCCAGUCAGACCGUGACAGUGUACUGCACUGCUGUCAAUGAAGAAGGACGAGACAAAUGAAUCAAGCACUGUGCAGCUCAAUGUGUUAUGUAAGUAAAUAAUAGAACAAACAUAGCACCAAGAUAUUUUUAUUUUCAUUCAAAUACACACACACCCAUUACACACACACAUCUGUGCAUGUAUAGUUCUGUUAGUUUCUAAUAAUAUUUGUUAUUCUUACAGAUGCCCCUGACAUUAAAAGUUCCUCUAAGUGCUUCUCAGAGAGGGGCAAAGUAAUGUGUGAGUGCAUCGUGGAGUCCAGGCCUCCCGAUGUCACACAGUGGAAAUUUGUAUUUAUCUUGUAUAUUGUUUUAUUUUGAUUUUUAGUGUUUGUUUAUGAGUGUCGUUUUAUUUGCAUGGUUUUAUUCUAUUUCUAUUGCAUGGUUUUUAGUGUUUUAUGUGACAUGGUUUUUAUCCACUGUGGACUGGCUGCACAUGGGACAAAUUAGCUGAUAGGGACCACCUGCUGAGGCAUGGGUGUGUCCAGAGGUGGCCUAUCAGCUGUGUAAAGACCUUUUAAAAGCAGGCUAGCUGAGCGCUGAAGGAAGAGAGGCCUCAGACUGGAAGGUUAGUGCUAGAUGGCCAGCGUGACACAGCGACCCAGUCCUGACCUCAUGGAACGGCAACAGUAGGAGACAACGCGUGUGACUGGCAGCAGGGCAGAGGUUUACCUCUGCCUGCAUUUGUGAGUAGGGUCUCUACUGUUUACUGGGUGCAGCUGGAUUGGGAGAGGGUCGCCAUGGCCAUGAGCCAGGCCGUUUCUGGGACCAUUGUUCUGGCCCCUAUUUGUUAUGUUACAGGACACCGACGCAAGGGGAGCUGUGGCGGUGGUCGCAUAAUGGAUUCGGGUGCAGAACGCAAGCCGGGCUGGGAAAUGAUGGGCCAGCGGAAGGACAAGAAGAUGGGAGGCUCUUUCUUGUCUGCCGAAGACGAGGCUGGUGUGGACUCAGCUCUAAAGAAGGAAUUCCCGGCCUGCUGAUGGACCCAUAAUGAACAUGUGGCAUAAUUAUAGUAGGGGGCUUUUAAUGAAUGUAGUAGUUUUACGAGUUUUAGAAUUGUUUUAGUAGAUAACAUUUUAAGGGUGUUUUUAUUUGUGCUCCCUGGCCUAGUAAUAAACUGUUUCUGAUGAGACCUGCUGCAUCUCUGUGCCCGUGGUAUCUGACUCGCUUGCUCCCCCUUGUAUUUUAAAGAAUCUUUCAUUUUAGCGUGGCAUUUUGGCGCGACUGCUUUAGUGUCGCCCGUGUUACACCAGCAUGCUCCAUUUUGUUCUUGGUGACAGAGUUGUGCAAAACAGCAAAGUGCAGACAGUUGGCUCUGUUACUACUGGGACUCUGCAGACAGACUUUGGGUCCUUUAAGUUUGUUCACUGUCUGGCAAACAACACGCUGGGAAAUGCUAACCUCAUGCUUUCUUUACCUGUUUAUGGUAAAAAAAAAAAAAGCUUUAAAUCUA
ensembl:lncRNA